rnacentral:rRNA from 1 species
GAUGAACGCUGGCGGCGUGCCUAAUACAUGCGAGUCGAGCGAACAGACGAGGAGCUUGCUCCUCUGACGUUAGCGGCGGACGGGUGAGUAACACGUGGAUAACCUACCUAUAAGACUGGGAUAACUUCGGGAAACCGGAGCUAAUACCGGAUAAUAUAUUGAACCGCAUGGUUCAAUAGUGAAAGACGGUUUUGCUGUCACUUAUAGAUGGAUCCGCGCCGCAUUAGCUAGUUGGUAAGGUAACGGCUUACCAAGGCAACGAUGCGUAGCCGACCUGAGAGGGUGAUCGGCCACACUGGAACUGAGACACGGUCCAGACUCCUACGGGAGGCAGCAGUAGGGAAUCUUCCGCAAUGGGCGAAAGCCUGACGGAGCAACGCCGCGUGAGUGAUGAAGGUCUUCGGAUCGUAAAACUCUGUCAUUAGGGAAGAACAAAUGUGUAAGUAACUAUGCACGUCUUGACGGUACCUAAUCAGAAAGCCACGGCUAACUACGUG